AGCGAACGCUGGCGGCAGGCCUAACACAUGCAAGUCGAACGAACUCUUCGGGGUUAGUGGCGGACGGGUGCGUAACACGUGGGAACGUGCCUUUUGGUUCGGAAUAACUCAGGGAAAGUUGUGCUAAUACCGAAUGAGCCCUUCGGGGGAAAGAUUUAUCGCCAUUAGAGCGGCCCGCGUCGGAUUAGCUAGUUGGUGGGGUAACGGCCCACCAAGGCGACGAUCAGUAGCUGGUCUGAGAGGAUGACCAGCCACACUGGGACUGAGACACGGCCCAGACUCCUACGGGAGGCAGCAGUGGGGAAUCUUGCGCAAUGGGCGAAAGCCUGACGCAGCCAUGCCGCGUGAAUGAUGAAGGUCUUAGGAUUGUAAAAUUCUUUCACCGGGGACGAUAAUGACGGUACCCGGAGAAGAAGCCCCGGCUAACUUCGUG
rnacentral:rRNA from 1 species